rnacentral:rRNA from 2 species
UUGAUCCAUGGCUCAGAUUGAACGCUGGCGGCAGGCCUAACACAUGCAAGUCGAGCGGAUGACAGGAGCUUGCUCCUGAAUUCAGCGGCGGACGGGUGAGUAAUGCCUAGGAAUCUGCCUGGUAGUGGGGGACAACGUUUCGAAAGGAACGCUAAUACCGCAUACGUCCUACGGGAGAAAGCAGGGGACCUUCGGGCCUUGCGCUAUCAGAUGAGCCUAGGUCGGAUUAGCUAGUUGGUGAGGUAAUGGCUCACCAAGGCGACGAUCCGUAACUGGUCUGAGAGGAUGAUCAGUCACACUGGAACUGAGACACGGUCCAGACUCCUACGGGAGGCAGCAGUGGGGAAUAUUGGACAAUGGGCGAAAGCCUGAUCCAGCCAUGCCGCGUGUGUGAAGAAGGUCUUCGGAUUGUAAAGCACUUUAAGUUGGGAGGAAGGGCAGUAACUUAAUACGUUGCUGUCUUGACGUUACCGACAGAAUAAGCACCGGCUAACU